rnacentral:rRNA from 1 species
UACAGGGGGUGCAAACGUUGCUCGGAAUCAUUGGGCGUAAAGCGCACGUAGGCGGUUCGUUAUGUCGGAUGUGAAAGCCCUUGGCUUAACCGAGGAAGUGCAUCCGAAACUGGCGAGCUAGAGUACUAAAGAGGAUCGCGGAAUUCCCGGUGUAGAGGUGAAAUUCGUAGAUAUCGGGAGGAACACCGGUGGCGAAGGCGGCGAUCUGGGUAGAUACUGACGCUGAGGUGCGAAAGCGUGGGGAGCAACAGGG